rnacentral:snoRNA from 1 species
UUGGCCCAGAUCAAAGUUGAAGCUGUGGGUUUUAAGCAGAAGCCUGCAGAAAUGUCUUUCCAUGGCCAGUUGCCCAUUUCAGAACUUUGGAAACCCAAUGGUCAAUUCUUUAGAAAGAAACAUCG